GAUGAACGCUGGCGGCGUGCCUAACACAUGCAAGUCGAGCGUGAUUAAGUGGAGUGAGGACUUCGGUCUGAGUGAAACUUAUGAAAGCGGCGGACGGGUGAGUAACGCGUGGGCAACCUGCCCCAUACAAAGGGAUAGCCAUUGGAAACGGUGAUUAAUACCUUAUAAGUCGGUAGUCUCGCAUGAGAUAGCCGACAAAGAUUUAUCGGUAUGGGAUGGGCCCGCGUCUGAUUAGCUAGUUGGUGAGGUAACGGCUCACCAAGGCGACGAUCAGUAGCCGACCUGAGAGGGUGAUCGGCCACACUGGAACUGAGACACGGUCCAGACUCCUACGGGAGGCAGCAGUGGGGAAUAUUGCACAAUGGGCGCAAGCCUGAUGCAGCAACGCCGCGUGAGUGAAGAAGGCCUUCGGGUUGUAAAACUCUGUCCUAUGGGAAGAAACAAAUGACGGUACCAUGGGAGGAAGCCCCGGCUAACUACGUG
rnacentral:rRNA from 1 species